rnacentral:rRNA from 1 species
CCUACGGGAGACAGCAGUGAGGAAUAUUGGUCAAUGGACGAGAGUCUGAACCAGCCAAGUAGCGUGAAGGAUGACUGCCCUAUGGGUUGUAAACUUCUUUUAUAUGGGAAUAAAACGUUCCACGUGUGGGAUUUUGUAUGUACCAUAUGAAUAAGGAUCGGCUAACUCCGUGCCAGCAGCCGCGGUAAUACGGAGGAUCCGAGCGUUAUCCGGAUUUAUUGGGUUUAAAGGGAGCGUAGGUGGAUUGUUAAGUCAGUUGUGAAAGUUUGCGGCUCAACCGUAAAAUUGCAGUUGAAACUGGCAGUCUUGAGUACAGUAGAGGUGGGCGGAAUUCGUGGUGUAGCGGUGAAAUGCUUAGAUAUCACGAAGAACUCCGAUUGCGAAGGCAGUUCACUGGACUGCAACUGACACUGAGGCUCGAAAGUGUGGGUAUCAAACAGGAUUAGAUACCCUUGUC